UCGAAUCCCGGUGCCGGCUGUGCUGUCUGGGGUUUUUCCUGGGUUUUCCUCAGACGCUUUCAGACAUAUGUCGGCACAGUUCCCUUAGAAGUCGGCCCAGGACGCACAUUCCCCCAGGGCGUCAGUCGUGACGUUGCCCACCUACGUGAGGCCGACAACGGCAAGCCCUUUCACCACCCACCACCACCACCAGCCAUUGGUGGACGAAUCAAAGCGAGGAAGACGAAGAUCUGCCUCGUGCUCUCGUCCCUCGCACCGUCCGUCGAAGUCCUGGUGAACGGCUGGCCCGGUGUCGCGGAAAGCACCCUCCGAAAGUCCAACCACCUGUUGAGUGGACGACGGAAAUGUUCGAAGGAUCCCAGGCAUCCCUGAUGCGGUCUGAAGGUGGCAUGCCUCCACCUAGCGGCCGGCGGCCUCUGUUCUCCUCGCACGGCGCCUACCUGUGCACGGCUGUGGGGAUUGUGGUUGCCAUCGGAUUCACAAUCGGAAUCGGAUUUGUCGUCAUGCAGCACAAGGUGGCCAGAGCUUUCGGCGUCGUCGCUUGAGUAUUAAAUAUGCUAAUUCGUGUCUCCA